AUAUGUGAGCACUGCCUCAAGUAGUACUGAAGAAAUUACCUCUGAAAAUUUUUGGCACACCCAUCAAACAAUCAUUCCCUUGCAUGUUGACACAGACUUUAUGUAUGUGCUCUAGUAUAGCAUAUGUCACCUGGCUGGCUUUCUCUGUCCAUCUACCUCAACUUUCUUGGUUCAUGAAUUUUUAUUUUCUAAGGAAUAAAAGCAGUAUGUGGCACAUGAUAAAUACUUAAUUGAAAAAGUACCAUUGGUCCUUAGUGUUACCAUACAUCUGUCUUCUAACAGUUUAUAACCUCUCAUACGCUUUCCUCCUAGGUAUGUAGCACAGUGCUAUUAUACUGAGUAGACACUUAAAAGAUGAAUUACUAAAUUGGAAGAGAAACCUAGAAAAUUGAAUUCCUUUUCUGAGUAUCUUAAAUUGGGUGAGGAACCUUUUUCUUUCUUCCAGGGGCCAUUUAAAACAUCAUUCCCGGGCCGUACAAAUUACCAACUUAAAAAUUAGCCUAUAUUUGGUCAAACAUUUAAUUAACUUACCCCUAAUGCCUUAGCAGGACCAGACCAAAUGAUUUUUCGGGUCAAACUUGUACCCCACCUGUCUUAAAUAAAGAACCAGUAAAUGUAGGUCUCAAUUUUAAGUUGGGACUAAAUCCCUAUACAAGUUAUACUUACUGUGCAAUAGAACUAAAUAUUUAGAACAUUUUCCAUAUUGUGAUCUAGAGUGUUUUUUUUUUUAAGACAUUAAAAAAUUUUUUUGUAUCACUAAUUCUUGGCCACAGUACCAUUGUAUCUAACUUAAGCUAGACUAUAGAGAUGUGUUUUCUUGUCAAAUGGAAUUCUUUAAAAUCCUGUUUGGAUUUGUCCUCCAUCUCCAUUUGCCAUAUCAGCAUCCUUGUCUGUGCAUCCACAUUUAUUACUAAAAUGUCUUACCUUAUUUCACUGACUCCAGUCUCUAUCCUGGCCAUUAAGUCUGAUCUUCCUAAAACAUGUCACUUCACCUAAUAUGAAUCAAUGGAUUAUAGUCUACCUUUUAAAUUUAUCACUAUUCUCAAUCACAUCUUCCCCUGAUCUGAUUGAUCUGGCAAAUACUGACCAUGCUUGUUUUUGCUUCUGUACUUACAUUUUCAGACUUCUUCCUUCCCCCCACUUUAGCAGUCACCUGCAGCUUUAAAUCCUGGUCAUCCUCAAAGUUCAUUUCUGCAACUAUGAAAAAUAAGCUGCUAAACCCAAAUAAUAGCUGUCUUCUCUGAUGCAUUUAGUCUCUUCACAAUUUAUUACUGUGGAAUGUUUUGUGUUAAUUUUUCAUGCCCUAUGGAAUUUUUGUAAUAUUUGUAUUUCCCAAUGAGCCAAAUGCAAUGCUGUCAGUUUAAUAAAUGUUGAUUGAACAAGA